AUCGUUAGAGGUGGUAAAUUUCGUUGCAACCACGCACCCUAUAGGUUAAAAGAGAUGCAAGAGAUGCAAGAGAUGUGACGCUUGCCUAACGGU
rnacentral:ncRNA from 1 species